CAUUUUGCCUUAGACAGCUUAGGAGACCAACCACAUGCCUGGAGAUCUGUAUCUAUCCUUAGGCUCCUAGUGGGAUUCACACAAAACCAGUAUGUGUGGGCACAUUCUCCUAGCAGCUCGGUGUCUUUUUGCUGUUGCAGAGGUGAUUUCCAGGCGGAGCUGACCAGUGGGGUUCUCUGGCUGAGGGGAAGACCAGCAGUCAGCUGGUGGAUGUGCUUCUGGAAGAAAUAGCAACGGGAGCUCUAAGAGAGGGAAAUGGCUUCCCUGCAUGGAAGGAGGAGGGGAGCGCUGAAGCUUUCGUGGCCAAGCCCCGGAGCCAGGAUGUCAGGGAGAAGCAGGAGUAUCUGAGCCAGCUGAAGAACAAGCUGGGAGAUCUACUAGAGGGGAAGGCAGAUGAUCUGAAGACUGCUUUCUGUGCGAUUGAUCCCGGUAUCGACGAUCAGACGCUAGAUACCUACGUUGACCUGCCGGAUCAAGAAGAUGUGCCUGUGGAAACUGCACUCGAGAGGCUGCUUGCUGGAUAUGCGAGACGAGUAGGGCCCUCGCCCUGGGAGGGAAGCACGACAGGCUUUGGAGGGGAGGAAGGAGACUUCCAAUAAUAAGAAUAAAUGGACUGUUUGAUCUACGG